UUACUAGGGCGGAGAGCGAGGAUAAGUAGAGGUGGGUCUGGCCAGUGGCUGGACGGGUGACCACACUCAACGUUUGUCUUCAGUAAGAACAUGUACAGUCAGCUUAACAGGCUUCCUGUCCCCAACAAUGUGAUGUGAGAUUUAACACCUAUAGUCUUUGCAGACGACGAGUCAGUAACGUGGCUGAAGAUAUGAUGACGAAACCACACAUGACUUGAUAAUGGUCCAGGACGGACCGAAACGUCGUCGUUUCUCCAUCUGAUGUGUGGUUUGGUCAUCAUACCUGUAGUCUUUCUUCAUUGUAGCGCAUAUCUGUGGUGAAGAGAGUACAGGAGGUGUAAAGAGUUCUGGGCGAUGAUUAUCCAAGAGUGAGAUGAACUGAUCCAAUACAUGGCUAAAAACAGCUUCUUCUAGUCCAGUGCGUGUGAACUCGGCAACAACCGCACGAAGAACAAACUGCUCCAUGAAACUGCAACUUCUGCAGUAAAUAUUGUAGAUUAUAUUACCAUUUGGUAACAAUAAACAGUAUUAUCAACAUAAAAUAGUUUCAC